AAUAAACCAAAUAAUAAAAAAUGAUUUUUUUUCUUGUUUGAAGUCAUUAAAAGGAAAGGUGUAAAGUAAUUUUUAGAGGUGUCAAAACUCAAGUCAAUUCAUAUGGAAUAUACAAUUUUAGGUCUUAUUAAACCGAUAAACUAUUAUGGCUCUAUUUAAAAAACAAAAAAAAAAAAAAACUUAAUCCAAAAGCUUACAAAGAAAAUGUAUUUUUAAAAUUUAAACUACCUGAAUAAAAUUAAUUUAAAUGUUUAUAUGUAAUGAUUUGAUAGAUACCCAUUUGAACUUUUUAUAAAAUAUAAUUAUUAUUUUUAAAAUAGACAUGCUCAAAAUGCCAUAACCAAAA
rnacentral:lncRNA from 1 species